GACGAACGCUGGCGGCGUGCUUAACACAUGCAAGUCGAACAGACUACUUUGCUUCGGUAAGGUGGUUAGUGGCGAACGGGUGAGUAACGCGUAGACAACCUACCUCUUAGAUGGGGACAACAUCGCGAAAGCGGUGCUAACACCGAAUGAAGUGACUUUCCUGCAUGGGAGAGAUACUAAAGGCGGCCUCUAUUUAUAAGCUACCACUGAGAGAUGGGUCUGCGUCUGAUUAGCUAGUUGGCGGGGUAAUGGCCCACCAAGGCGACGAUCAGUAGCCGGUCUGAGAGGAUGAAAGGCCACAUUGGGGCUGAGACACGGCCCAAACUCCUACGGGAGGCAGCAGUGGGGAAUCUUCCGCAAUGGACGAAAGUCUGACGGAGCAACGCCGCGUGAGUGAAGAAGGUUUUCGGAUCGUAAAGCUCUGUUGUUUGAGACGAAUGUGCCUGUUUCAAAUAGGGAUAGGUAAUGACGGUAUUAAACGAGAAAGCCACGGCUAACUACGUGCCAGCAGCCGCCGUAA
rnacentral:rRNA from 1 species